rnacentral:rRNA from 1 species
AUGCUCACGGCGGCCGCGCCAUCUUCGGCGGCCCCUCCGACUAUGACCAUCACGCUCGCUGCGGCCUCCCUUGCCGCUCGCAAGGCUGAUCCGGCCGUUCAGGGAUGCUUUGCCGCCUCGCACAAGCUCCUGUGCAUGUCAUCGGUGCCGGCCAGUCUGUCUCCUCUGCCAACCGUCCCCGUCCUCCUUGUUGGCGCCUCUUCUGGCUGGCCGACGGCGCCCUCCGGCCUCCUCUGCUCGUCGCCAAGCUCCCAACCGCCCCGGCCUGAUAUGGAUCUGGGGCCUGUGUCCCCGCCGCCGGAGCAACAUUUGUGUUCUGAGGACGUCGUCGUGGAGGUGCCGAAGACCAUUGACGGGCCGCCGGCACAGCUGCCCUGCCUGGGCGGCGGCCGGCCACCUGCUGCCCUGUUGAGCUCCAGCCCCCUGGUCUCUGGUGCAGACGCAGAUGCAGACUUCCUCGUCGGCCCGGAUGCGGCAUGCAUGGGGCUCGUGGAGGACACUGCAGGCUGGGAGCUUGUCCAGUCCUGCCGUGCACGACUGGCACCUCGGCCACCUUCGGCUUUCAUGCCUCAUCAUCGCCCCCGGCCACCCGCGUGGCUCUGGAAUAGAUGUUUUCGUUGCUUCGGAAAAGGUCAUCGAGCGGCCGAGUGCAGGGAUCCAAUCCGGUGCAACCAAUGCUUUCGCUCGGGAUACCGUGCACGGGAUGGCUGCAAGCCGGUGCAGCCACAGCCUUAUGCAAGUUCUGUUCGGCCGUUGGCUCAUUCUUGGGCUUCGAUUGUUGCGCCUUCAUCAACAUCUGAGAAACAUGAGGCCACGUCCAACAUGAAGACUUCUUCUGUCCCGAUAGAUGUGACGCUCCAGUCUGCUCUAGGGGUGCACUCGAAGUUGCUAGGAUCUGAUCUUCAUUGCAUGACUUCCUCAUAG